UACGUAGGGACCAAGCGUUGUUCGGAUUUACUGGGCGUAAAGGGCGCGUAGGCGGCCUGCUAAGUCGAACGUGAAAUCCCCGGGCUCAACCCGGGAACUGCGUCCGAUACUGGUUGGCUUGAAUUCGGGAGAGGGAUGCGGAAUUCCAGGUGUAGCGGUGAAAUGCGUAGAUAUCUGGAGGAACACCGGUGGCGAAGGCGGCAUCCUGGACCGAUAUUGACGCUGAUGCGCGAAAGCCAGGGGAGCAAACGGG
rnacentral:rRNA from 1 species